GGUUGUGGCUCAGUGGCAGAGUGCUUGCCUAGCAUGCGUGAGGCACUGGGUUCAAUCCUCAGUACCA
rnacentral:tRNA from 1 species